CUUUCUUUUUAUUCCAUAUAUGUCAUUUCAUAUGUCUGUCUUUUAAAAUUACCAUUUAAGGGCAUUUUGUAGCGGUGACGGUAAUUUUACGUGGAGUUUACCUACGGCUACCUGCUCGGUACGUCACAAACAAUAUUUGCUGAUGAUGCUGUAUUAUCACGAUUUAUGGCGGGAAAUAUUGUCUCUGAUAUCACUGCACGUAUUUUUUUCGAUUUUACGCCAGUAAUUUCCAUUAAUUUUCGUUAAACACGUUAAAGGUAAGCCUGGAUUAAAGCAAAAAUAAAUAUAGCCUCAUUUGGACGUAAACCAAGUUUAGCAUUUAUGUUAAGUUUUCUCAAUGGCGGACGGAUGCUGGCUCGUUGAGCGUUUCGCUUAAUUCAGGUUAUAUACUCGAGACCACUGUUGUAUACAAUUAAUAAAAAGUGAUUAUGAACAAAGAAAGAGUAAAGCUUUAUCUGGUGAAGAUUAAAGGUUGAAAAAAAAGUGAUUGCGGAGUGGCGUAGAGAAAAUUGUCCUAAUACACUUGCCACUGUUUUAUGAAAUAAUUAACUCCUCGGAAUGUGGGACUCGCCGCAAAUUAGACAUGUAAUAAUGUUUUAUCGUAGACUCAUGUGAAAUAACAGGUUUUAGCCUGCUUACCUAAGCACAGAGCUAGGUACACAUGAUUUGACAAUUUAGAAUUUCUAAAAAUUUACAGCAUUUACUUUGAUUGAAGCCAUAUGUUGUGGUAGUUUAUAUUAAAUUUCACUUAGACAAGGUUGUAGAAAUGUGGGGGCCAUUGUGGGUACUUAGAAAGGUGUUCACAUUCACCUUGAUAAUAUAUCAGUAAUAUAUUUCCAUAGUUUAUGUAAAUAAGCUGUAAGAUAGGACAUUUGGGCAACCAGAAAUUAAGUCAAAGUGGUUUGAUUAUUUUUUUCUUAAAAGGUCAUAUUAUUUAAUAAUUAUGUUCAUCUACCUAUAUUUUCUUUUUAAGUUUUUGGGUCUUUUUCCAUAAUGGAAUGGACAUAAAGAUGUUAUGCAAAUGAAGUGUGUAUUGAUUUUGUUUAUGGUUGUGUUGAGGAAUGGAAGAUAUUAUGAUAAUUUGAUGCUUGCCUGGCAGUUUCUCUAGCCAAUAACAUGGCUGUGGAGUUGCAGGGAAACUUAACAGUGGUAUUCAUGCUAGCUUUUCAUGAUUCUAUCUUGUAUUUAUUGUCAGAAUGAUAAACAUAUAUUUAUUGAUUAUAAAACUAGGGAAAAUGGAUAAUGAUUGGGUGACAUGAUGUUCAUUAUUGCUUAAAUUAGAAGAAAAACUUAGAAGUCCUAAAGGUUGUGUUCAUUGACAUAAUAUUGAUAUAAAAAUGAUUUUUCAUUUCAUUGUUUUUAUGUGAAAGAUCAAUAAAAACUGAAAAAUCUUCCUGGUUCAACCCAAAUGAGAAAGUGUUAUUUCCCAUAAAACUGUGCAAAACAAAGUACAUAUAAGGUAGAUAUUUCAACCUUUGUAUGAUUGUUCAUGAUCACGUGAGGCGAGGCUUAAGUGGUUGUAUUUCCUGAGUUUAGCUUGUUUUAUAAACCAUGUAAUACUGAUGAAAAAUGACAAAGUACCUUUUCAAGUAUUUCCUAUCAUUUGAUCAUUAUUAAUAUUAUAAUUGCUGUUCUGAUGCAAGUUUAUAUUUAAAAAUUACUUUUGAGGAAUCCAGUUAAUAGUGACUGAAUAAAAGUGUGUGACCAUCCUUAAAUAUCAAUUUAAUUUUAGGUGGAAAAAAUCUAGAAGAAAUAGAUCUAUAUAACGGACAAGCCUGUAUCUGAUUUCUGAUCUCUGUCUUGGGGGCUUUGUCUCACUCUGUCCCUCUGGUCAGAUCGCUCUGUGUCUGUACUAGUAGAGGAUGAAUUAACCGCCCUGUGUGGCUGCAAAGCGCCUUUGAACGUGAAAUUGAUCAUGAAAAGGGCGCUAUAUAAAUCUGGUAUAAUAAUAAUAAAGCUACUGCCUUUUUUCCCAAAGUUGUUUAUAUUUAAAGAAGAAAUGAAUACUGAUAGUUUUCUUACUUUUAUAUGGUAACUGUAUAGAUAUUUUAACAAUGAAGUAAAUGUGUGAUCACCUUCAUCAUCAGCAUCAUCAGGAGCAGUAGCAACAACAUAACCUUAGCUAUAUAUGACUGUUUAGUACUGGAUGAUUUGAAACUGUGAAAUAUCCUUACUUUUUGCAAAGUAUUUGAUAGCAUGAUUGGAUAGUGUGAUAAAUUAUCUUCAGUACUCAUUCCAUGAAUUCACUGGACAGAUGUUUAAUUUUUCACCACCAACAGCUCUCCACUGUCUGACAUUGUCUUCAACAGAAAAAAAGGAAAUCAGUGUUUUAGUAAGAAUUAUUUGGUGGCAACAAUGUUUCAGUUUCGAAGAUGUUUUAAUUCAAAGAUUUGAUGAAAUGAUAAUUUAAGCUUGAUCAAUAUUUUAGGUGUAUGUCUAGUUUAUUCCAAGAGAGUGUAUGAUAUGGGAUAUAUAUCCAUUAUUACCUGACAUUAAUUUGUUUAAUUGGAUUAUAUACUUAAACUUAACAACAUUGAUAAUUCCAAGAAUCAAGAUAUUAUUCAAAGCAUUAUAUAAAUCAGCCUGCAUUUAGUAAUCUUUUCUAUUUUCUAGUGCUUUGAAAAAUUCACUUUUGCUUUCGUUCUUUCUGCCCUAACCCCACCCCACUCAUAACUUGAUGUAAUUAUACAUACAGUUGUUGUUGCUGUCCUGUAUUGUGGAGUUAUAAAAAAGAAUAAUUACAGAAUGAUGAUUUAUUGACUUAAACAACUGUAUAAACUCACCUCAGCUGUUAGGGCACCGGGGCACCAGGAAUACCCUGCUGGGCCUUAAUGUUUUGUGUCAACCUUGUAAUUACCUGUUAAUUUUAGUUACUGAUGAUUGAAGAUACCGUCAGUCCGAGUAUAUUCACCUUAUUUAUUCUAAAAACAUCUCUGAUUCAGGGCAGGCAUUUUCUAAAAUUGAUUAGACAUACAAACAAAUGAAAACAGAUUUAUUCUUUUUCUCUUGAAUAUAUAUAUAUUUAUUGAUGUUUAAAGAGAUAGAGGGAGUAUUGCUAUUGUUAAAGAAAUGAAUUUUUUUUUUUUGGAAGUUCAUGUGAAAUGAACGACAGAAUAGGAUCGGCAAAUCAACAUGAAUUGCUGGUUCAUUUUGCAUGAACUCUGAAAAAAAUUUCUUAUACAUUAUAUUUCCUUUCCAUUUGUAAACAAGAUUUUAUUAUAAAUGAUACCCAUUUUGUUGCAUUUAACAUCAAAAUCAGCUUCAGACAGAACAACUGCGACAUACGUCAUCGAAGAAAGUUCUCCCUCCGACUAUACGCGGACGUUGUCAAAACAGCGAGUGGCUCAUUAUCACUAAGCAGUGUUGUCGUAACUUUGGCACCUGUCCUUUUGCUGUUCAUACAAAAGCGAACAUCAUAAUUUUCAAUGGAAAAGAAUAGGGUUAAUAAGUAUUUUUUAGUAUAAAAGAAAGGGGCUUCAGCCUGUAAGAAAAAGGGCAUUAAUUAUGAUGAAUGUAUAUGCAGGUAAGGAAAAAAUAUAUAUGAGUAUGAUAUUAUAAAAAAGAAUUAUGUUAUUCAUGUGAUUAAUUCAGAUGAUGCAAACUUAUAAUACUGUGAAAAAAAUACCUUAGCUGUUUUACAUAGAAUUAACAAGCCAUUUAUGUAAGAAUUUGUACUCUUAAUAUAAAUUAACAACCAAAUUUUCUAUGCUAUAUUUUAGCCCUUCAGGGGCCCCAGCAGUCACCUGUUCUGUACCUGAGUAAACAGUAGAUGAUAGACAGAUCUUGACAGGAUAAGGAUGUGUUAUAGCCCUGAUAAGCCUAUCUGGCUUUCACAUUUGACUCCUGACACAAUAGCACAUUUGAGUUCAUACAGGUAGUCAUAACACCUGCAAAAUGACUUGUGUUGAAAUUAUAGGUUUUUAUCUUUUCAUAAUUUCCUUGCAGAAGUAAAUCAGAUUUGAUGUUUGUGGGUGAGGCAACAUUUUGAUACAGGUAUAAUUUCUGUGUUAAAUAAAGACAAAGAUUUGAAAAAGUCUAAAAUAUUUGAGUUAAGCCAUGUCAUAAAACCUCGAGAGGGAAUUACUAUUUUUAUAUAUUAACUACUGUUAAAUGGUGGUCAAUUGGAUUUUGAUCAUAACAGCCUUUGCCAAAUGAACCAUUAAAGUUCAUGAACUAUUCAUGAUUUGUUCAUUGCAAGUUCACAUGCACAAUUUGUCAAAAAUCGUGAAAAAUUCAUCAUUGCUAAAUGAGAAAAAUCUUGACUUGUUCUUAAAAAUAGCCAUUCAUGAACUGUACAAGAACUGUGAUCAUGAACUUUUCAAGAACAUUUUUUGUCUGAAAUAAUCUCAAAUAUUCCUCAACAGUUCAUGAA